rnacentral:rRNA from 1 species
CUAGCGAGGUGAGAGGUGCCCGUACCGCAAACCGACACAGGUAGGCGAGGAGAGAAUCCUAAGGUGAUCGAGAGAACUCUCGUUAAGGAACUCGGCAAAAUGACCCCGUAACUUCGGGAGAAGGGGUGCUCUGUUAGGGUGCAAGCCCGAGAGAGCCGCAGUGAAUAGGCCCAGGCGACUGUUUAGCAAAAACACAGGUCUCUGCGAAGCCGUAAGGCGAAGUAUAGGGGCUGACGCCUGCCCGGUGCUGGAAGGUUAAGAGGAGCGCUUAGCGUAAGCGAAGGUGCGAAUUGAAGCCCCAGUAAACGGCGGCCGUAACUAUAACGGUCCUAAGGUAGCGAAAUUCCUUGUCGGGUAAGUUCCGACCCGCACGAAAGGCGCAACGAUCUGGGCACUGUCUCAACGAGAGACUCGGUGAAAGUAUAGUACCUGUGAAGAU